GCGAACGGGAUUAGAUACCCUGGUAGUCCACGCUGUAAACGAUGUCGAUUUGGAGGUUGUGCCCUUGAGGCGUGGCUUCCGGAGCUAACGCGUUAAAUCGACCGCCUGGGGAGUACGGCCGCAAGGUUAAAACUCAAAUGAAUUGACGGGGGCCCGCACAAGCGGUGGAGCAUGUGGUUUAACUCGAUGCAACGCGAAGAACCUUACCUACUCUUGACAUCCAGAGAACUUUCCAGAGAUGGAUUGGUGCCUUCGGGAACUCUGAGACAGGUGCUGCAUGGCUGCCGUCAGCUCGUGUUGUGAAAUGUUGGGUUAAGUCCCGCAACGAGCGCAACCCUUAUCCUUUGUUGCCAGCGGUUCGGCCGGGAACUCAAAGGAGACUGCCAGUGAUAAACUGGAGGAAGGUGGGGAUGACGUCAAGUCAUCAUGGCCCUUACGAGUAGGGCUACACACGUGCUACAAUGGCAUAUACAAAGAGAAGCGACCUCGCGAGAGCAAGCGGACCUCAUAAAGUAUGUCGUAGUCCGGAUUGGAGUCUGCAACUCGACUCCAUGAAGUCGGAAUCGCUAGUAAUCGUAGGUCAGAAUGCUACGGUGAAUACGUUCCCGGGCCUUGUACACACCGCCCGUCACACCAUGGGAGUGGGUUGCAAAAGAAGUAGGUAGCUUAACCUUCGGGAGGGCGCUUACCACUUUGUGAUUCAUGACUGGGG
rnacentral:rRNA from 1 species